rnacentral:lncRNA from 1 species
UUCAAUUCAAUGAAUCUAGGGAAAUCUGAAGAAUUAAUUGGUGCAAUCUAGUUAAUUUGGGGCAUUGUCAUUCAUGGUUUGUUCAAAGAGUAAUUGGAGAUCGAGUUGUAUGCAUAUGUUCAUGUGUGGAUAAGGAACCCUCUAACUAGCUUCUCACCAUUCUAUUUAAUCACAAUCUGUGUUGCUUUACAUUUGUUUUUAAAGUCUGAGUUUUAAAGUUUUAAUUUCGUCAAAAUCAUUCCCCCAUUUAUUUUAAAGUGUUAGAUUAGUUAGAAAUCCAAUUAGUUGUGUUUUUAAGUGUUUUGAGUCAAGUCAUAGUCCAAAUUCGUCCAAACUAGUGUUAUAUACUCAAAACUGCCCAGAAAGUGGUUUUAAGGCAGUUUUGAGCCUUUAAGUUGCUGUUUUGAGUUUUGAGUUUGUUUAGGUGUUUUAAACCCUAGUUUUGCAUUAAUUGAGUCUAGUUUAGUGUUCUACAUUAUAUUUUUUAUGUUCUUGAGUCAGUUUCACAUUGAUUAGCAUCCCUAGUUAAUCCCCGGUUAGAACGAUCCCUAUUUGCUCAUAUACUACAAUUGUCAUCCAUAGGGUUUAAUUUGUGUGUCAAGUUAAUUUUCACAUCAAAACACUAAACUAGACUCAAAGAAUGCAAAACUAAAGGUUAAAACACUUAAACAAACCUA